UAAUCCCUGCGAUGUUUGUUAAGGUUUAUAUUCUUUGAACCAAUUGUUAAAAACUGGCUGUGGAUUUUAGUGAUACUGUUGUGCGCGCCUAUAUGGGAUGUGCCUGAUGUAUCCAUGAAACAGCCGCCUUGAACCGUAUGGUUCAAGAUGAUAGCCUGACGGCAUAUGUGGGGAGCCA
rnacentral:other from 1 species